UACGUAGGGGGCAAGCGUUGUCCGGAUUUAUUGGGCGUAAAGAGCGUGUAGGCGGCCAUGCAGGUCCGUUGUGAAAACUCGAGGCUCAACCUCGAGACGCCGGUGGAAACCGUAUGGCUAGAGUCCGGAAGAGGAGAGUGGAAUUCCUGGUGUAGCGGUGAAAUGCGCAGAUAUCAGGAAGAACACCAACGGCGAAGGCAGCUCGCUAGGACGGUACUGACGCUGAGACGCGAAAGCGUGGGGAGCGAACAGG
rnacentral:rRNA from 1 species